rnacentral:rRNA from 13 species
AUCCUGGUAGUGCAAAAGCUUCCAAGGGUUCGGCUGUUCGCCGAUGAAAGUGGUACAUGAGUUGGGUUUAGAACGUCGUGAGACAGUUCGGUUCCUAUCUGUUGUUGGUGAUUAGAAUUGAGAAUAGCGAUUCCUUGUACGAGAGGACCGGAAUGGAUUAACCUCUGGUGAUCGGUUGUUUUAUUCAAAGCACUGCCGUGUAGCUACGUUAAAGAAAGAGAACUGCUGAAAGCAUCUAAGCAGGAAACUUUGUUCAAAACAAAUUCUAAAGAGAGGGAAGACUACCCUUUGAAUAGGCGAAA